AUGUUACAAGACUUGUUAAGUCUAAAGUUGCAAGGUCAUCUAGGAAUUCGAAAUUCAAGUUACAACAUGUUACAUAUAAGUUCAAGAUGCAAAAGAGUCUUAAAAUUCCUAAAGUCUAAAUUACAAAGUUUCUUGAAUCAUGCUUCAGCAUCUCUUCAUGUCCAAACAAAAAUUCUACUAUCUUGUCUUGUUGUCCUACUAUUCAUGCUGAUGCUUGUGCUCUAA